UCUCCGUUGGUGAACCAGCGGAGGGAUCAUUAUAGAGUUCUAAACUCCCAAACCGUUUGUGAACCUUACCUACUGUUGCUUCGGCGGGUACGCGCCGGCGCCACUGCGUGCCGGAGCCACGGCGCCCGCCGGGGGGCCGAAAAUCUUGAUUCCUACAGUGGUAUUCUCUCUGAGUGGCACAAGAAUAAUAAAAUUAAAACUUUCAACAACGGAUCUCUUGGUUCUG
rnacentral:misc_RNA from 1 species